UACGGGGGGGGCAAGCGUUGUUCGGAAUUACUGGGCGUAAAGGGCUCGUAGGCGGCCAACUAAGUCAGACGUGAAAUCCCUCGGCUUAACCGGGGAACUGCGUCUGAUACUGGAUGGCUUGAGGUUGGGAGAGGGAUGCGGAAUUCCAGGUGUAGCGGUGAAAUGCGCAGAUAUCGGGAGGAACACCGGUGGCGAAGGCGGUUCUCUGGGCCUUACCUGACACUGAGGAGCGAAAGCGUGGGGAGCGAACAGG
rnacentral:rRNA from 1 species